rnacentral:rRNA from 1 species
UACAGAGGGUGCAAGCGUUAAUCGGAAUUACUGGGCGUAAAGCGAGCGUAGUCGGUUAUUUAAGUCGGAUGUGAAAUCCCCGGGCUCAACCUGGGAAUUGCAUUCGAUACUGGAUAGCUAGAGUUCGGCAGAGGGAAGCGGAAUUUCUGGUGUAGCGGUGAAAUGCGUAGAUAUCAGAAGGAACACCAGUGGCGAAAGCGGCUUCCUGGACCAGAACUGACGAUCAGGCUCGAAAGCGUGGGGAGCAAACAGG